rnacentral:sRNA from 1 species
UAUCGCUGCCCACCUUGGGCAUGACCUCCCUGACCUUGGCCGCUUGUGGCAACGCAGGCGGCCCUUCUUUUUGCGUGC